GAGUCCUUGAUGGAAUACUUCCUCAUCUUCCGCACGCACGCUCCUGGACAUUUUUAUGAACAGCACAGCAAACGCAGCAAGUGUGAUGGCGAGCACAGAACUGUCUUUGCUUCUGCUGAUCACAGACAUUUCGUGACACAUACAGAGUACAAAGAGUGCAGGAAGAUCUGCAAAGGCCAAAUGACAAUGUAUUCUUCUGUCACAAUGUCUUAGUAACCACAGAUUACACAGGGCUAGGAAACAGCGUGAUCUCUGUCUCUCGCUUUUCUGUUUUUAAAUAUCAUGACUAUUCUUUUGCCACCUUUGCUUUUCUCCUUCCGCUCUGGAAACAAUCUCAAGAGCACAAACUGUGC
rnacentral:lncRNA from 11 species